rnacentral:rRNA from 1 species
CAGUCGCCGCGGGAAUACGUAGGGUGCAAGCGUUAAUCGGAAUUACUGGGCGUAAAGCGUGCGCAGGCGGUCCGCUAAGACAGAUGUGAAAUCCCCGGGCUUAACCUGGGAACUGCAUUUGUGACUGGCGGGCUAGAGUAUGGCAGAGGGGGGUAGAAUUCCACGUGUAGCAGUGAAAUGCGUAGAGAUGUGGAGGAAUACCGAUGGCGAAGGCAGCCCCCUGGGCCAAUACUGACGCUCAUGCACGAAAGCGUGGGGAGCAAACAGGAUUAGAGACCCGUGUAGUCCCUGUCUCUUAUAC